AUGCUCACCGUCGGCGGCCGCUUCCAGGGCGGAGCUCCCCCAUGGCGACGGCCCCGGCCACGCUCGCGUCUGGCGUCUCCGCCGGCCUCCAGCAGCGGCGCCGGCGACUCCGAAAAGGCCAGACCUUUGCUCGUGGAGAGGUACCGGGACGGCGCCGCCAAGAGGUAUAUGUUGGACGGCGACUCUAAGCUGCAAGUUCAGUGGGAGAAGCAUGAUGAAUCUUCAACGAACACUGUCGAAGAUGAAAAUGCAAAUUCUUCGAUUCCCCGGGCUGUUAGUGAUUUUGUACUUCCAGCAGGUUUUCCAGAAUCUGUUUCGGAUGAUUACCUGCAAUACAUGCUGUUGCAAUUCCCCACAAACGUGACAGGAUGGAUCUGUCACACAUUGGUUACAUCAAGUCUUCUGAAGGCUGUAGGUGUUGGGUCCUUUACAGGAACUUCAGCAGCUGCUGCUGCCGCUGCUAUCAGAUGGGUAUCAAAAGAUGGCAUAGGAGCUUUUGGACGUCUUCUUAUUGGUGGACGAUUUGGAACACUUUUUGAUGAUGACCCAAAGAAGUGGCGGAUGUAUGCUGAUUUCAUUGGGAGUGCUGGAAGCAUCUUUGAUCUCACCACUCCUCUCUAUCCUGGUUACUUCCUUCCACUUGCAUCAUUGGGGAAUCUUGCAAAGGCUGUAGGAAGAGGAUUUAGAGAUCCUUCCAAUCGUGUUAUCCAAAAUCACUUCGCAAAAUCGGGAAAUCUAGGGGAGAUUGCUGCAAAGGAGGAAGUAUGGGAAGUAGGAGCUCAGCUGGUAGGCCUUUCUAUUGGUGUACUUAUUCUGGACACGCCAGGUAUACAGUCUUCAUAUUUAACUCUUACUCUGACAUGGCUGGGUGUUCGUCUUCUGCAUCUUUGGUUUCGCUACCAGUCCCUAGUAGUUCUCAAGUUCCGCACAGUUAACCUAAAACGCGCUCGGAUUCUUGUGAGGUCACAUGUUGCAAAUCAUACAGUUCCUGGCUAUGUUGCUUGCAAUGAGGAAGAGAAUAUUUUAACAUGGGAAAGAUUCUUGCAACCUCGAAUUUCUUUUGGUGUGCCCAUGGAGAGGAUGCUCGGUGGAGAGGAAUCCACUCACAUGGACAUGGUUUGUGUCUUUAGCAAAAAUAAUUAUUUUAUGGUGAAUAUGCUGCUGAAGCUAUACAAGAAUGAGAAGUACAUCCUCUGUGUUGAGCAGCUUGGGUUAGAAGAGGCAACAUACCUGGUUACAUUCAAGGAGGCGGCAACAAGCAUGUCGGUCCUAAGAAGCCUAUGGCAAGCGCAUUGGCUUCACCAAAAUCGGCCGAAGCAGGACGACGUUGCCGCCUGGCUAGAAGAGAGCCUUUCUGCAUUGGAGGAUGGAUUUGCUGACUUCAUCAAACAGAUGGAGGAAGCUGGCUGGGAUCAAAGCCAAAUCUUCUUAAAGGUGCCAAAAGAACCUGUCUUGGUGUUGGAACACCUUGACCAGGAGGUGUGA
rnacentral:rRNA from 1 species